CCUACGGGCGGCUGCAGUGAGGAAUAUUGGUCAAUGGGCGCGAGCCUGAACCAGCCAAGUAGCGUGAAUGAAGACUGCCCUACGGGUUGUAAACUUCUUUUAUAAAGGAAUAGAGUGAGGCACGUGUGCCUUUAUGUAUGUACUUUAUGAAUAAAGAUCGGCUAACUCCGUGCCAGCAGCCGCGGUAAUACGGAGGAUCCGAGCGUUAUCCGGAUUUAUUGGGUUUAAGGGGAGCGUAGAUGGGUUGUUAAGUCAGUUGUGAAAGUUCGCGGCUCAACCGUAAAAUUGCAAUUGAUACUGGCAGGCUUGAGUACAGGUGAGGUAGGCGGAAUUCGUGGUGUAGCGGUGAAAUGCGUAGAUAUCACGAAGAACACCGAUUGCGAAGGCAGCUUACUAAACUGCGACUGACAUUGAUGCUCGAAAGUGUGGGUAUCAAACAGGAUUAGAUACCCGUGUAGUC
rnacentral:rRNA from 1 species